GACGAAGGGGGCUAGCGUUGUUCGGAAUUACUGGGCGUAAAGCGUGCGUAGACGGUUGCGUAAGUCAGAUGUGAAAGCCCCGGGCUCAACCUGGGAAUUGCAUUUGAGACUGCGUAGCUAGGGUGCGGAAGAGGGAAGCGGAAUUUCCGGUGUAGCGGUGAAAUGCGUAGAUAUCAGGAGGAACACCGGUGGCGAAGGCGGGACUCUGGGCCGAUACUGACGCUGAGGAGCGAAAGCGUGGGGAGCAAACAGG
rnacentral:rRNA from 1 species